rnacentral:lncRNA from 1 species
CAGUAUUGUAACUUUUGUGCGCUAUUAGCCGAAACAUGUGAUCACCUAUUUCGGGAUUGUGUUUUCGUCAGAUACCUUUUAUUCAGUACGGGACUGGCAGAUAUAAGCGAUUCGGAAUCAGGGGAUGUUCGCCGGCUUUGGUCAGAGAUAGGGUACAUCCGCAAUGCCGUGCUGCGAGAGAAAAAUCUAACCCGUUUGGUGGCAAUCUGGUGGGUGGUCUGGACGGAGCGAAACAACAUUAUCUUUCG